rnacentral:rRNA from 1 species
CCAAGGGUAUGGCUGUUCGCCAUUUAAAGUGGUACGCGAGCUGGGUUUAGAACGUCGUGAGACAGUUCGGUCCCUAUCUGCCGUGGGCGCUGGAGAACUGAGGGGGGCUGCUCCUAGUACGAGAGGACCGGAGUGGACGCAUCACUGGUGUUCGGGUUGUCAUGCCAAUGGCACUGCCCGGUAGCUAAAUGCGGAAGAGAUAAGUGCUGAAAGCAUCUAAGCACGAAACUUGCCCCGAGAUGAGUUCUCCCUGACUCCUUGAGAGUCCUGAAGGAACGUUGAAGACGACGACGUUGAUAGGCCGGGUGUGUAAGCGCAGCGAUGCGUUGAGCUAACCGGUACUAAUGAACCGUGAGGCUUAACCUUACAACGCCGAAGCUGUU